rnacentral:rRNA from 1 species
AUACGGAGGGUGCAAGCGUUAAUCGGAUUUACUGGGCGUAAAGCGCGCGUAGGCGGUUUGGUAAGUCGGAUGUGAAAUCCCAGGGCUCAACCUUGGAACUGCAUUCGAUACUGCCUCACUAGAGUAUGGUAGAGGGAAGUGGAAUUCCGGGUGUAGCGGUGAAAUGCGUAGAUAUCCGGAGGAACAUCAGUGGCGAAGGCGACUUCCUGGCCCAAUACUGACGCUGAGGUGCGAAAGCGUGGGGAGCAAACAGGAUUAGAAACCCGAGUAGUCC